CUGUGGGUAGCGGAGAAAUUCCAAUCGAACCCGGAGAUAGCUGGUUCUCCCCGAAAUAGUUUUAGGACUAGCCUCAAGUUAGAUACCUGGAGGUAAAGCACUGAAUAGCCUAGCGGCCGAGAGGUUAGCGAAGCUUAUCAAACUCAGAAUGCCAGAGUAUUGAUGCUUGGGAGUCAGACAGUGUCAGAUAAAUGUCAUUGUCAAAAGGGAAACAGCCCAGAUCUACAGCUAAGGUCCCAAAGUCAGGUUAAGUGGAAAACGAUGUGAAGAUACGUAGACAACCAGGAUGUUGGCUUAGAAGCAGCCACACAUUCAAAGAGUGCGUAAUAGCUCACUGGUCGAGCGUCUUUGCGCGGAGAAUUUAACGGGGCUAAACCUGACACCGAAGCUUAGGCAAUACAGCAAUGUAUUGGGUAGGGGAGCGUUGUAUACGCGGUGAAACAGUAGCGCAAGCGGCUGUGGAGUGUAUAGAAGUGAGAAUGCCGGAAUGAGUAGCGCGAAUGCAGUGAGAAUCUGCAUGGCCGAAAGCCUCAGGUUUCUGGAGGAAGGUUCGUCCGCUCCAGGUUAGUCGGGAGCUAAGGUGAGGCCUAACGGCGUAGCCGAUGCACAGACGGUAGAGAUUCCGUCACCACCAAAAGAGUUAAACACAGGGACACAUAUGAAGUCUCGGAGCCGGGUGUUGGUUCCGGUAGCGAUCGAGGGAAGUUAGUACCGAAGUCCGAGAUGGAAGAUGGCGAGAAAAGCUGUGUGUAUUUCUGCGGUGCCCGUACCGCAAACCGACACAGGUAGGUAGGAAGAAGAUUCUAAGGCCAACGGGAGAAGGGUUGUUAAGGAACUCGGCAAAUUGACCCCGUAACUUCGGGAGAAGGGGUGCUCCAGAGAUGGAGCCGCAGAGAAUCGGCCCAAGCAACUGUUUACCAAAAACACAGGUUUGUGCUAAAUCGAAAGAUGACGUAUACGAGCUGACGCCUGCCCGGUGCUGGAAGGUUAAGAGGAGAUGUGCAAGCAUUGAAUCGAAGCCCCAGUGAACGGCGGCCGUAACAAUAACGGUCCUAAGGUAGCGAAAUUCCUUGUCAGGUAAGUUCUGACCCGCAUGAAAGGCGUAAUGAUUUGGGCACUGUCUCAACAGCCCGCCCGGCGAAAUUGUAGUACCGGUGAAGAUGCCGGUUACCCGCGACAAGACGGAAAGACCCCAUGGAGCUUUACUGUAGCCUAAUAUUGGGUUUCGAUGUUGCAUGCACAGGAUAGAUGGGACACUGGGAAACAGGAGCUUUGGCUUCUGCGGAGUGGCCGUUGGGAUACCAUCCUUGCGAUAUUGGAAUUCUAACCUGCGGCUCUGAAUCGAGUCGGGGGACAUUGUUAGGUGGGCAGUUUGACUGGGGCGGUCGCCUCCUAAA
rnacentral:rRNA from 1 species